UACGAAGGGGGCUAGCGUUGCUCGGAAUUACUGGGCGUAAAGCGCACGUAGGCGGUUAUUCAAGUCAGAGGUGAAAGCCCGGGGCUCAACCCCGGAACUGCCUUUGAAACUAGAUGACUAGAAUCUUGGAGAGGUCAGUGGAAUUCCGAGUGUAGAGGUGAAAUUCGUAGAUAUUCGGAAGAACACCAGUGGCGAAGGCGACUGACUGGACAAGUAUUGACGCUGAGGUGCGAAAGCGUGGGGAGCAAACAGG
rnacentral:rRNA from 1 species